UGCUGCUGGUGAAGGAUCUCUGAUUGGAGAUUCUUCCCUUGUGGAGUUUUUUCCUGCGAGCCUAGAUCUUCAGAGAUGGGUGCUGUUGGUUUAUUCCUCACCUGAAUGCUUGCAAGCAGUCAGCAGAACCAGACGCGUUCUCCUGAGGAAAAGCAUGGAAUUAGCACAUCCUUUUCUGGGUUGACUUUUACUGACUGCUCUAAGGGUUUUGUCAAAUGGUACAUCAAAUGGAAGCUGUGUCACCUAUGCUCUCUCUCUCUGCAACCUAAUUAAAGUAGAUUGGAAAGAAUCAAAGGCCUUAAACAAUCAAAAUGCAAAUAGCUGGGGCUGUCCAGAACAGUUGUUGCAGAACAUGUUAAGUGCUAGAAACAGGUAUUGCUGUUUGAAUAUCUAAAUUGCCUCAGUAAACAUUAUAAGGCCAUUAAAGGCACUCUAUUAACCCUCUGA